GCGACGCAUGAUGCGAAUCACAUUGGCUAUUGGCAUGUACUGGUCUUGUUCACGGACCAUGCACUGCACUGGUUGUUGGAGCUCGUUGGCUUCUGCCGCAGUUGAUGAGUUGCCUUCGUUGGGCUUGCUACGGAUGAGAGUGCUGGGGAGGCUUGGAGGAUUGGUGUUUGAGUGCGCUAAACCCAUGCCUGAACCUGGAAUCAAAAGGUCGUGUUAGUCGUUAAAGAGAAGCAGGUUUGCAGUUUAUCUCUUUUGUCCGUUAUUAAUGCCACCUCUGCAGAAGACAACAAAAACAAAGUAGCUGACCAAAAAGGAAAAGACUUUUUUUUUCUUUUGAAAAAAAGGAAUAAAUGCCAACUCAGAAACUUGCAUGGCCAUGUGCCUUCAUAUAGGGAGAAGUAGGACCAAUGGGUCCCACAUACAUCGACCAGAAGCAGAAUCUAUGUAGGGCACACACCUAACCCAAGAGUAGAGCCAAAUUCAUGUUCAG
rnacentral:misc_RNA from 1 species